rnacentral:rRNA from 1 species
GUAGGGGGCGAGCGUUGUCCGGAAUCAUUGGGCGUAAAGCGCGUGUAGGCGGCUUGGUAAGUCCGGUGUGAAAUCUUGGGGCUCAACCCCAAGCCUGCACUGGAUACUGCCUCGCUUGAGUCCGGGAGGGGAGAGCGGAAUUCCUAGUGUAGCGGUGAAAUGCGCAGAUAUUAGGAAGAACACCGGUGGCGAAGGCGGCUCUCUGGAACGGUACUGACGCUGAGACGCGAAAGCGUGGGGAGCGAACAGGAUUAGAUACCCUGGUAGUCCACGCCGUAAACGAUGGGCACUAGAUGUGGGCGGUGUCGACUCCGCCCGUGUCGCAGCUAACGCAUUAAGUGCCCCGCCUGGGGAGUACGGCCGCAAGGCUAAA